rnacentral:misc_RNA from 1 species
GAUGAAGAACGUAGUGAAAUGCGAUAAGUAAUGUGAAUUGCAGAAUUCAGUGAAUCAUCGAAUCUUUGAACGCACCUUGCGCUCCUUGGUAUUCCUUGGAGCAUGCCUGAUUGAGUAUCAUGAAAUCCUCAAAAUAUAUCUUUCGUUCAUUCGAUUGGUUUUAUUUUGGACUUGGAGGUCUGCAGAUUCACGUCUGCUCCUCUCAAAUGCAUUAGCUGGAUCUCAGUGAGCUCGGUUCCACUCGGCGUGAUAAGUAUCACUCGCUGAGGACACUGUAAAAAGUGGCCGGGAUUGCAGAUGAACCGCUUCUAAUCGUCUAUUAGCUUAGACAAUUAAAUCUUAUGAUCUGAUCUCAAAUCAGGUAGGACUACCCGCUGAACUUAAGCAUAUCAAUAAGCGGAGGA